rnacentral:rRNA from 1 species
GUACGUACUGGUGUUACUGAUUCCUCCCUUCUGACGAACUAUCAUGCCAUUUACUUGGUGUGGUGGGAAAUCACAACUGUUACUUUGAAAAAAUUAGAGUGUUUAAAGCAGGCUCACGCUUGAAUACAUUAUCAUGGAAUAAUGAAAUAGGACGUUGAUCUUAUUUUGUUGGUUUCUAGGAUUGACGUAAUGAUUAAUAGGGAUAGUUGGGGGCAUUAGUAUUCAAUUGUCAGAGGUGAAAUUCUUGGAUUUAUUGAAGACUAACUACUGCGAAAGCAUUUGCCAAGGAUGUUUUCAUUAAUCAAGAACGAAAGUUAGGGGAUCGAAGACGAUCAGAUACCGUCGUAGUCUUAACCAUAAACUAUGCCGACUAGGGAUCGGAUGAUGUUAAUUUUUUAAUGACUCAUUCGGCGCCUUACG